rnacentral:lncRNA from 1 species
GCGAAGCUCGUGGCGAGACCCAGGCGAUGUAUAUCAAUGAACUCCGCUUCACGCGAUCAACACUUGCUAGAAAGCGUUCGCGAAAACGUUUAUCACGACAGUCGGUCGCGCGGACACCUUCGCAAGCACUCGCUUCGCGGUCAUUUCCUCGCGCCACCUCUCUUAGCUCGCGGCCAGUCCUCCGCGGUCACUUGGUCGGGGCCAGUCGCUCGAGCCAUUUGCUCGCGGCCCCGCGCUCUUCGCGUCGCUUGCUUCGCUCGCGGCCAGUCGCUUAUGCGCCG